GCAGGACAGGCCCUUGUUGGGAAAGAGGAGGAGGCAGCCGCUUUUCAAAAUCUGGUGGGGUGGGGUGCAGAAGUGGGGCAAGAUGUUAAAGCUCCAAAGGGUUUUUCUUUUUUUCCCCCUGCUUAAGACGGAGAAGAGGGCAGUGCCGGGCUAGGGUAGAUAAGGAGCUUCAACCCUCCUCUACCUCUAGACCCUAAAAUAAGGUUGGGGUGGGGCUGGGGGGUGCCGUACACGCCCUCGCAGCUCGCUCAUGUUGGCGGGGGGGGGGGGGGGGGGGGGGGNNNNNNNNNNNNNNNNNNNNNNNNNNNNNNNNNNNNNNNNNCGCCCGGAUCCAAGACUUCUCCAGGUCAUGAGCGUGUGAAGGCCCGAGGAGCGUCAGCCACCGGGCAGCAAAAAGAGGCGGCCAGCCGACUCCUGCCUUUCGGCCGAAUGACCCACCGCUGCCGCGCCGCCACCUCUGCACCUGCCUGGCUGAGGAAAGGAAAAGAUUUCCGGGGGUUUGGAAGAAGCCAAAUCUUCCGGCUUGCCCUUGGGGCCCGCCCUAAAGAGCGCAGGAAGCCCAGUGGGUAUGUGGCGGUCGCCCUACGAGUCUUGCAGGGAAAGUUCGCUCUGCAGACGCGAGAGAAAAAACAACCACCCUCUGCCGCUUGGCUCCACAAGAACCAUGCAGCGAAAACGCAGAGGUCAGCCCCUCUCCAGGAUUCAGCCCAUCUUGGAUUCAGCUUCUUCGGCCGCACAAACUCCCAAGCUCUGAGAACACGCAGCGCACCCCGCGCGCCUCGCAGCGAAGGCACCCGGGCCACACUGCUGAGUUCUCCGCGUGGCGAAUGCGCGUCGCUUAAGGAAAGCAAUUGA
rnacentral:lncRNA from 1 species